AGAAAGUGAGGAGACAUUUUAUAUUGUCUUUUCGUCAUGGAGGAACAUUGAGGUAUAGUGAAAAUUGAAGGUCAAGAUAUCGUUUCAGUCAUCAUUUUCUUUGAUGGUUGCUCUGUCCACAU